rnacentral:lncRNA from 1 species
UUCCACAAAGCCAAUCAUGUGUACACAAUAAUGCUUCAACAUUUUCAGGUAUAAGAGCACUUCGAUACUUGUCAAGUAUACGUCCAUCCAAUCAUGUGUACACAAUAAUGCUUCAACAUUUUCAGGUAUAAGAGCACUUCGAUACUUGUCAAGUAUACGUCCACCUAUACUAAAUGCUGAUUCUGAUGCAACUGUAGUAAUUGGAAUGCUCAAACGGUCACGUGCCAAUAUAGAAAGUUUGAGAUAUUUACCCUCAUUUGCUUUCCAAUAUUACAAAACAUCCAAAUGAGCAUAUUCCUCAUGGUUAAUUUU